UACGAAGGGUGCAAGCGUUAAUCGGAAUUACUGGGCGUAAAGGGUGCGUAGGCGGUUCGUUAAGUCUGUCGUGAAAUCCCCGGGCUCAACCUGGGAAUGGCGAUGGAUACUGGCGAGCUAGAGUGUGUCAGAGGAUGGUGGAAUUCCCGGUGUAGCGGUGAAAUGCGUAGAGAUCGGGAGGAACACCAGUGGCGAAGGCGGCCUUCUGGACCAAUACUGACGCUCAUGCACGAAAGCGUGGGGAGCAAACAGG
rnacentral:rRNA from 1 species